UACGAAGGGGGCUAGCGUUGCUCGGAUUGACUGGGCGUAAAGGGCGCGUAGGCGGUUCGUACAGUCAGACGUGAAAUUCCUGGGCUCAACCUGGGGGCUGCGUUUGAUACGUGCGGACUUGAGUGCGGAAGAGGGUCGUGGAAUUCCCAGUGUAGAGGUGAAAUUCGUAGAUAUUGGGAAGAACACCGGUGGCGAAGGCGGCGACCUGGUCCGGUCCUGACGCUGAGACGCGAAGGCGUGGGGAGCGAACGGG
rnacentral:rRNA from 1 species